AGGUAAGCUUAUAUCUAGCUUUUGUGUUUGUUGCAAGGUUUGCUCUUAUAGCAAGUGCAAUGACAGUCAUCAAUUGAUAAUCCACAAAAACUGUUCUUGUGAUUCUUGUAGGUGGCAGUAAAGCCGGAUCCUCUCUUCGAGACCUAGAAACUCAAGUGGCAAGCUGUGGGAAUGUUUCUGAUUCACAGAACAUCUGCACUAACACCAUGGACCUUCGAGAGGGGGAUCGAGGAGGCCCUCUGCUGUGCAAGUCAGACACAUCUUGGUUCCAGGUAGCUGCUGUAACAAUGAGUGGGAGUAAAUCGGCCCGUGCAGAUGUCCAGGUCUUUUUCAAGACUUCAAGAUUUGGAUCAUUCAUUGAAAAGACAGUGGGGGAUCUGCCUUCUCCUGCAGCAGUUCUAACAGCAGGUUCACCACGUUUUUCAUUGUCUCUAUUCCUGUCUUUCUCCGUCCCCAUAACCUCAAUGUCUCUUUUGUCUGUGUUGAUGUAGGCGGUUGACCCACUGAAGUGACAGCAGUGAAAUCUCUCUGUAACCUCUGAUUUAUAUACUUACAUACAGUAAUGAAAACAAAUCUUCACAUGAGGUAUUUCCAAAGAAGUUUAAAUUCUAAAAAUGUAAAGCAAUAAAGAGCAAUAACGGACAUUUUUUAAUGAAUCCAGUUAAAUGAAGGAAAGUUUUAAAUUAUUCUAUUCACUGCUGUUACCUAGUGUUGACAAAUGUAUUUUAAUUUAGUCAUAUUUAUAUAAUAAAUACAGAUCAAUCAUACAAUAAAUGUCCUUUUAUUUCAUUUCAGAAUUCUUACACCAGUUCACAAUGUCAAUAUAAAAAAUAUUCAAACAGUAGUACCCAGCUGUUAAGCAUGUUCUUCAAAGGUUUUACAGUACAUUAUUUGAUGAAACAGGUUAUCUUGUAAAGAAGUUUUAAAUUCUACACAAUUAAUACACAAUAUUUGCAAAAAUAUAGAUACAGAAAGGUUUCUUUGGUCAGAGUCUUAAUAAGCUGCUCAGUUCAAACU